AACGCGAAGAACCUUACCCAGGCUCGAAAUGCAGGUGGCGAUACCAGAGAUGGUAUUUUCCGUAAGGACGCCUGUAUAGGUGCUGCAUGGCUGUCGUCAGCUCGUGCCGUGAGGUGUUGGGUUAAGUCCCGCAACGAGCGCAACCCUUAUCAUUAGUUGCCAACACGCAAGGUGGGGACUCUAAUGAGACUGCCUAGGUUAACUAGGAGGAAGGUGAGGAUGACGUCAAGUCCGCAUGGCCUUUAUGUCUGGGGCUACACACGUGCUACAAUGGUCGGUACAGAAGGCAGCAAGACCGUAAGGUGGAGCAAAUCCGUAAAAACCGAUCUCAGUUCAGAUUGUAGUCUGCAACUCGACUACAUGAAGCUGGAAUUGCUAGUAAUGACGUGUCAGCAACAACGUCGUGAAUACGUUCCCGGGCCUUGUA
rnacentral:rRNA from 1 species